rnacentral:rRNA from 1 species
CCUACGGGUGGCAGCAGUCGAGAAUCAUUCACAAUGGGGGAAACCCUGAUGGGGCGACGCCGCGUGGGGGAAUGAAGGGCUGCGGAUUGUAAACCCCUGUCAUGUGGGAGCAAAUUAAAAAGAGAGUACCACAAGAGGAAGAGACGGCUAACUCGGGGCCAGCAGCCGCGGUAAUCCAGAGGUCUCAAGCGUUGGUCGGAAUCACUGGGCGUAAAGCGUGCGUAGGCUGUUUCGUAAGGCGUGUGUGAAAGGCGCGGGCUCAACCCGCGGACGGCCCAUGUUACUGCGAGACUAGAGUAGUGGAGGGGUAACCGGAAUUCUCGGUGUAGCCGUGAAAUGCGUAGAUAUC